GAUGAACGCUAGCUACAGGCUUAACACAUGCAAGUCGAGGGGAAACGACAUUGAAGCUUGCUUCGAUGGUCGUCGACCGGCGCACGGGUGAGUAACGCGUAUCCAACCUGCCUCUGACCAAGGGAUAACCCGUCGAAAGUCUGCCUAAUACCUUAUGCAGUCGUCGGAAGUCAUCUGAUGACGACGAAAGCUUUCAUCGGCGAGAGAUGGGGAUGCGUCUGAUUAGCUUGUUGGCGGGGUAACGGCCCACCAAGGCAACGAUCAGGAGGGGUUCUGGGAGGAAGGUCCCCCACAUUGGAAAUGAGACACGGUCCAAACUCCUACGGGAGGCAGGAGUGAGGAAUAUUGGGCAAUGGGGGAGAGCCUGAACCAGCCAAGUAGCGUGCAGGAUGACGGCCCUAUGGGUUGUAAACUGCUUUUAUGCGGGGAUAAAGUGAGGGACGUGUCCUUCAUUGCAGGUACCGAAUGAAUAAGGACCGGCUAAUUCCGUG
rnacentral:rRNA from 1 species